AUUCCGGUUGAUCCUGCCGGAGGUCAUUGCUAUUGGAGUCCGAUUUAGCCAUGCUAGUUGUACGAGUUGAGACUCGUAGCAGAUAGCUCAGUAACACGUGGCCAAACUACCCUAUAGAUCCAGACAACCUCGGGAAACUGAGGCUAAUCCGGAAUAGGUCUCUCAUCCUGGAGUGGAGGGAGCCUGAAACGCUCCGGCGCUAUAGGAUGUGGCUGCGGCCGAUUAGGUAGACGGUGGGGUAACGGCCCACCGUGCCAGUAAUCGGUACGGGUUGUGAGAGCAAGAGCCCGGAGACGGUAUCUGAGACAAGAUACCGGGCCCUACGGGGCGCAGCAGGCGCGAAACCUUUACACUGCACGCCAGUGCGAUAAGGGGACUCCAAGUGCGAGGGCAUAUAGUCCUCGCUUUUUGCGACCGUAAGGUGGUCGAGGAAUAAGUGCUGGGCAAGACCGGUGCCAGCCGCCGCGGUAAUACCGGCAGGACGAGUGAUGACCGCUGUUAUUGGGCCUAAAGCGUCCGUAGCUGGCCGCACAAGUCUAUCGGGAAAUCUCUCCGCUUAACGGAGAGGCGUCCGGUGGAAACUGUGUGGCUUGGGACCGGAAGACCAGAGGGGUACGUCUGGGGUAGGAGUGAAAUCCCGUAAUCCUGGACGGACCACCGGUGGCGAAAGCGCCUCUGGAAGACGGAUCCGACGGUGAGGGACGAAAGCUCGGGUCACGAACCGGAUUAGAUACCCGGGUAGUCCGAGCUGUAAACGAUGUCUGCUAGGUGUGACACAGGCUACGAGCCUGUGUUGUGCCGUAGGGAAGCCGUGAAGCAGACCGCCUGGGAAGUACGUCCGCAAGGAUGAAACUUAAAGGAAUUGGCGGGGGAGCACUACAACCGGAGGAGCCUGCGGUUUAAUUGGACUCAACGCCGGACAUCUCACCAGCAUCGACAAUGUGCAGUGACGGUCAGUAUGAUGAGCUUACCUGAGCCAUUGAGAGGAGGUGCAUGGCCGCCGUCAGCUCGUACCGUGAGGCGUCCUGUUAAGUCGGGCAACGAGCGAGACCCGCACCCUUAAUUGCCAGCAGCACCCUUGUGGUGGCUGGGUACAUUAAGAGGACUGCCAGUGCCAAACUGGAGGAAGGAACGGGCAACGGUAGGUCAGUAUGCCCCGAAUGUGCUGGGCGACACGCGGGCUACAAUGGCCAAGACAGUGGGAUGCAACGCCGAAAGGCGACGCUAAUCUCCGAAACUUGGUCGUAGUUCGGAUUGAGGGCUGAAACUCGCCCUCAUGAAGCUGGAUUCGGUAGUAAUCGCGCCUCAGAAGGGCGCGGUGAAUACGUCCCUGCUCCUUGCACACACCGCCCGUCAAAGCACCCGAGUGGGGUCCGGAUGAGGCCCGGUUUCCGGGUCGAAUCUGGGCUCCGCAAGGGGGCUUAAGUCGUAACAAGGUAGCCGUAGGGGAAUCUGCGGCUGGAUCACCUCCU
rnacentral:rRNA from 1 species